rnacentral:rRNA from 1 species
UUCCCGUGAAGAGGCGGGAAUGCAUAAAUAAGACGAGAAGACCCUAUGGAGCUUUAACUAACCAACCCAAAGAAAAUAAAUUUAACCAUUGAGGAACAACAACAAUCUCCAUGAGUUGGUAGUUUCGGUUGGGGUGACCUCGGAGAAUAAAAAAUCCUCCGAACGAUUUUAAAGACUAGACCCACAAGUCAAAUCACUCUAUCGCUCAUUGAUCCAAAAAUUUGAUCAACGGAACAAGUUACCCUA